GGAAGGAAGGAAGGAAGGAAGGAAGGAAGGAAGGACAAAAUCUAAGAAAAGGAACUAGGUUUUUUUUGGAAUCCUGGUCUCAGGCAUGUCACUUACACAUUACAUCUGAGUGAGUUUCCCAUGUUGUUCUGUGUAGCAAAGGAUGCUCUACACACCAUGUGGUGACACCCACAGGGAGGCAUUCCUUCACUGCAGAGGAUUGAAGGCUACCCUUUGGGGUGUUUGUAACCAAGUAACUGUAACCCUUUAAAGAAGGAUUGAGGAGGGUCCCCUUGGUGAGCCUGCCGAGGGAAGAGCUGGGGUCUGCGGGUCACUAUUCAUAGUCAUCCUGCACCCACACCUCUCUGCAUCAGAUUUCUUGGGACACAGUUUCACUUUUAACUCAGAUUGACCUAGAACCCUCAAAGUAGCCAGGGCUGGCCUCUAACUGAUGGUGAUCCUCCUGCCUCAAUCCUCCAAUGCUUACAGUCACGCCUGGCUUUGUGUUCUUUCUUCUAAGAACAUGUGUGGCAGGUUGCAUAAUGUGUAAGUGAUAGUCAGAACCCUUUGCCAUUCAAUAUCUAGAUUUUAGAGUUUCUAGAAGCAGGAGCUGGGCUUAGUGGGUCAUGCCUAUAACCUCAAUACUCAGGAGGCUGAGGCGGGAGGGUCCAGACAUCAAGGUCAGCUUGUUCACACUGAGAUCUUGCCUAAGAAAAUAAUUUUUAAAAGACCCCACAAAAGAGGAGAUGGGGAGAUUGUACCAACAGGCAAGAUGGGCCAACUCCCCCCAGGAGGUGAGUGAAUUUAGGUUAAUGGUGGUUUCAAAUGACUGCCGGGGAGGAGAAGACAAACUGGGAGAACAAACAUUUGGGAUUUGAGGAGAAGGGGGAAUAGGGUUAUGAAAGGAAGGUUGAGCGUGCUUUUAACUGAAGACAGAGGUGAGAAAAAAGGGAGGCUCCUUGCCACCCAGGCUUUGCCAAGGCUAGAGUGACACCCCUCCUCCUGCCCUAAUCCCCCAUUAAGGCAGCUCUGAGCUUGUUAUGACAGCGGCUGAAGGCGCUUGAAUUGCUGUUUGCGGUGCCUACUAAUUGGACUGAAGGGCUGGAGUCUGGACACUGAAAGGGACCAUUGUCGCUGUUUGCCUUCCACGGCUGCCUCCCUGGGACCCUCUGGUUGAGGGGAGUCGCAUACCCGCAGGUCGUGGCACCCAUGCUCUGUGACCAUGCAAGGGUACCCUGUGGGGACACUGCACAUCAUUGUCUUGUCUGGGGCAGACAUCCUGCACUACAUUCCAGAUCUGAUGAGGCAUGGCUGCCCCAGGAUUACUGGGCUCGGACGGGAGCAGUGGUAGGAAGGAUCCUAUAUAAGUCAUGUGAGACAUAGAAUGUUCAGAUCAACUGAAGCUGAAACAAGCCUUUGGCAUCAUAUAUAACCCAGAAAGGGACAAAGCUGAUCCCAGAGGACUCAAGGCUAUGGGUGAUGUCGAAGGUGCGGAAGAAUCAAGUUGGAAAGACCAGCAGGAGACAGACAGAGUAAGGUAUGGUCAGGCGGGAUCAUCUGCCAGCUGGAGGUCUCAGGACUGUGGAAAACCAUGUAUUCUAGCAGUAUAUUCUCUGGCCCAGCCGACCAUUACUAUCUUCAUAACGCUUAUGAAACUGUGCCUUCUCUAAGGCCAUUCACAGCUCUCGACUGGGCUAUCCUUCUUUGCCCUCUGUGCAUAAUUUCAUGCUUAUUUGAUCUCCCCAACCUCUGCACUGACCUGGCUUCUUGUGUUAUAUCCUAAACAACUUGUUCUUGGUUUCAUCCACUCAGUUCUCUGGAUCAGCCAGCUUCACACAGAAGUGACAGCACUUCUGAAAUCCCCUCUUAGUCACUUUUGUAACUUCAACCUCUGCUAAAGGUAGACACUCACUCUAUAGACCAGGCCUU
rnacentral:lncRNA from 1 species